UGGGGAAUAUUGCACAAUGGGCGCAAGCCUGAUGCAGCCAUGCCGCGUGUAUGAAGAAGGCCUUCGGGUUGUAAAGUACUUUCAGCGAGGAGGAAGGCGUUGUGGUUAUUAACCGCAACGAUUGACGUUACUCGCAGAAGAAGCACCGGCUAACUCCGUGCCAGCAGCCGCGGUAAUACGGAGGGUGCAAGCGUUAAUCGGAAUUACUGGGCGUAAAGCGCACGCAGGCGGUCUGUCAAGUCGGAUGUGAAAUCCCCGGGCUCAACCUGGGAACUGCAUCCGAAACUGGCAGGCUAGAGUCUUGUAGAGGGGGGUAGAAUUCCAGGUGUAGCGGUGAAAUGCGUAGAGAUCUGGAGGAAUACCGGUGGCGAAGGCGGCCCCCUGGACAAAGACUGACGCUCAGGUGCGAAAGCGUGGGGAGCAAACA
rnacentral:rRNA from 1 species